UCUUAAUCUAUCUUAUUCUCAAAAUUUUCACUAUACUAGUAGCUCCCAAUAGAAUUUUGACCAAAACUUUAUAAUGAAGUAUGAAAUUCUUAAUAAUAUGAAAAUCUGUUUCAAAAGAAAAUUACAACAAUCAAUAAUGACUGAGCAAAACUUAACCAAAAAGAACUUUAUUUUUCAAACAACUAGUCUGCUACAUCCUGUUCCUGUGGCUGUGAGGGUAAUAGCAAAUUCAGCACCUACAUCAUACUGAAUUGCAGCCUAUCUCUACCUGUGAUGUGGGUUUUGCCAAUUCCCCGAUAGAUGUGGCUUAAUAAGUAAAGUUUAAAUAUCUUAUGGCUUGAAGGUGCAUAUAUCUAUGCAACAAAAAUUCCUUACUAGCUUUUAAACUAAUUAUCUCAAAAUUUCAGCAAAUCUAAAUGCAUGUAGCAGGUGCAUAUACAGGAAACCAAACAGACAUAUAUAUGAUAAGCUUGUGAAGAGAUGUGAUGGGCAAAAGAGGUUUAUUAAUUGAUAAGCUCGUGAAGAGUUUUUAAUGCACUUUUUACGUGCAUAUAGGUCAUGUUUGUUUCAAAUUUUCAGCAAGAUAACUGUUUUUCUUUUAAAAACUUUCACCAAGAUUAAAAUAUAACAAUUAUUUCUUCAAAACAAGUUAAUCUAACACGAAAGUCUUCCAAACACUAAACCUAAUAGACAACCAACAUAGUUACCCUAGCAACGGACCUGAGUCUAUACUAGGUGUUAGGUUCAAAUUUCAUUACCAACUAUAGUAAAAAAAAAAUAGAGCAAAAAGCAACAAAUUUUCAACAUCUCUAAGAUGAAUUAAUGAGGCUAUCCAAAUAUUUCUCAAAAAUCUCCCUUCCUCCAAAUAUUUGUUAAAAGUGGAAAGCUCUGAAAAUUGGAGGGGUAGAAAAGGAAAAAGACAAUAAACAACAGACAAACUUCCUUUUGGGUCCCACAACACAAACAAGAGAUCAGAUAGAUAAACACAAUGAUAGCCAAAAAGACGUAACUUAUCCACAAUACACACACCAUCAAAUCUGGACAAUAUCUAUCUUCAAUUUUCUUCAGAUUCUAACAAUGGUAGAUUAAAAAAAAACCUAAAUUUCUGCAACAAAUAAUUAAGCAAUAUCUCAAAGUUUUAAUUUUUGUGUUUCUUACCAGGGAGAUCCUUACGUGGCGUAGCGUAACAGAGAAUAGAACGCCCGAGAACGGAGAGAGAGGAAACGACGCCAGCGACGUAAAACACCAUAACCAAUCCGAGAACCCACGGCAUCAGCAUGAACCCGAUGAAGAAAGUCACCGAUCCACAC
rnacentral:lncRNA from 1 species